rnacentral:rRNA from 1 species
AGAGUUUGAUCCUGGCUCARAACGAACGCUGGCGGCGUGYUUAACACRUGCAAGUCGAACGGAAUUAGGGGCUUGCUCCUAAUUUAGUGGCGCACGGGUGAGUAACGCGUGGAUAACCUACCCUGGUAUCUGGGAUAACAUCUCGAAAGGGGUGCUAAUACCGGAUAAGCCCACGGGAACUUUGGUUCUUGCGGGAAAAGGUGGCCUCUAUUUAUAAGCUACUGUAUCAGGAUGGGUCCGCGUACCAUUAGCUAGUUGGKAGUGUAAUGGACUACCAAGGCUACGAUGGUUAGCUGGUCUGAGAGGAUGAUCAGCCACACUGGAACUGAGACACGGUCCAGACUCCUACGGGAGGCAGCAGUGGGGAAUUUUGCGCAAUGGGGGAAACCCUGACGCASCAACGCCGCGUGAGUGAUGAAGGCCUUCGGGUCGUAAAGCUCUGUCAGAGGGGAAGAAGUGUAUGGGUGCUAAUACCAUCUAUACUUGACGGUACCCUCAAAGGAAGCACCGGCUAACUCCGUGCCAGCAGCCGCGGUAAUACAAGGGC